UAUUGGCAACUCGGUUCACCCAAGAGAAAACUAAAUCACUAAAGUGGGACGCAAGCAACAAAAUAUUCGAAGUUGAGCCAAAAAGUGCGUUAAUCACCUGUAUCAAAUCCGAUUCCAUGGCCAAGAUUUAAUCCAUGAAGCCGAGAGAGCUUCUUUGAUUGCAACGGCCUCUGCUAGCCGAGGAGCCAAAGCAGAGUCAAUAUGUCCUGACAUAGCUUUCACAAACUUACCCUUCUAGUCCCUGACAAUAGCCGCAAAACCCGUAGCAUUUUCCUGGCAAAAAUAAGCGGCAUCAAUAUUGCAUUUAUACUUACCCAUACAAGGCUUCUCCCAUCUAUGCUGACGCCCAAGCUGCUCCGCGUUACUUGCACUAUUAACAGAUCAUACCCCUUCAUUGCGUCACACCAAUUCAGUAGAAAAGAAGUAGCAAUGUUUACAACAUGGUAAGGGGUCGAAAAGGUUCCUUUCCAGCACAAUAAAUUGCGAUGGUACCACAGACUACACAUAAUAGACAGAACCCAAUCCUGCCUGCUGCUAUCCUAAGAACUCAACGCAUUAGCAAUAAAGUCGACAACAGGAAAAUGAGCAGGUUGAUAACCAACUUGCUGUCAAACCGAUUUCGAAAAAGAACAACCAAGAAGCACAUGAUCAAGUGAUUCCUCCUCCCCACGGCAAGCAUAUGCAACAGACACAUUGACGCCUCUCUCGAUUAGACGCUUCUUCGUCGGUAAGAAGUUUCUAAGGCAACGCCAGCAAAAAUCCUUUGUCUUUGGCGGUAAAGAAGAAGCCCAGAACUGAUCCCAUGGCCCCGCGACGUGCAGAGGCAAAAGAUUCUGUGACCAUGAGAGCGCGAAUCUGUACCCCGACUUUACACUGUAAAAUCCAUUCGGGUUAAAGUGCCAAAUAAGCUAAUCGGGCUGCAGGUCGACCAAUCGGAAUACUA
rnacentral:lncRNA from 1 species